GCAACAAUUUUUUAUCACCCUCUACGAUUCGAGAAUAUUGUUUUUGGUGACCAAUUUGCAGACAUUGUUCGCCACCGAACAAGUGUUCCACAAUGAGACGGCUAAGAUCUAUUCGGAACUUGAGGCAAUUGUUGACAAGUUGGCCACAGAAUCGAGACACGGCUCAAAUACGCUGCGCAAACAAACAAUAAAUCCCAUCAAGACAUCGAGCCCAAC